GUGCAGGCUAAACCUCGGUAAUGUUUAGGAAAGAUUAAAUAAAUCAGGGUAAAAUCUCGCCCGGCACUUUCCCUCCCUAGAAUGUCCUUUGCCGAGAGCCCUGCAACGUAAACAAUGAUCACCAUGCAAUGACACGUCCCCAAACGGCCGGUUGACAAGUGCCGCACCGCAUUGUCACGAGCUCAGUGCAUACUUCCUGUCUGUCUGUCUGUCUUGUCUAUCCACGAGCCAGGUUCUUCCCUCCUAAAAUCAUGAGCCGCUCGUCGUAUCGCCAUGUGAUACUCAGUGCUAUCGCUGUCUACACGUUCCUGGCCCUCGGCACGGACAUCUUCGACCAGAAGGAACCCAAGAAAGAUGUCUUCAAACUGGAGAAGUUGGUAAGUGUUUUUUGUGUCACUUUUGAUGUCACUUCCACGGCUAUGGUGUUGUUGGUGUUUUGGGGGGUUUUAGUGAUGUUCUUUGUUUAGUUUAUAGCAUGUAAUUUACAUCCUAAAGUGUGUAAAUAUUAACCCAUAACAUACGGCGUAGUACCUUCGAUCCCACCGCUGCUCAAGAAGCAUGAGAUUUUAUAAAAGAAAAAGGGGCAACAGGAGGAACAGUUUUCCCUUUGAGUUCAGCGUCCCGUUUACCUUUUUUUAUAUAAAGAUGGGCGAUUUUACAAGGACAAAAAAGAGAAACAAAGCAAAAAGCAACAGGAGUGACUCAUUCGCCAUUUUGUUUUUGCUGAAGAAGCAGGUCGUACAGGCAGAAUAGUACCCCGGUAACGUAGCACUAGCGGCGUAUUGCGAAGCGGCGAUACCGAUACUUCUGCGUAUCUUUACCGGUCGCCGGCAACCGUAAUCAAUAUGUAGGAUACAGUGACCUCCUCUCUUUGGGUCUUAAUGUAAUUCUAGCUCCUUCGGAUGUUCUCUUCCAGGGAACUCUUACCGGUUACUUGCCGGUUCUGGCUCAGCCUGAAAUUUAUCUUCCAAAUCUUGCUUCAAGGAGGAACUUGGAGCAGUUCGUCUUCAUAAAUGCCACGCGCAAGAACACGAACGUUCAGGCAGCAGCGAGAAAUCACGAUAAUCUUGUA
rnacentral:lncRNA from 1 species